rnacentral:lncRNA from 1 species
AGAUUGGUAGCAAAAAAAACAAGGCUUGGAUGGAAUCCUGUUAGAAACACAAUAGAUGCAUCGGAUGCAUGGUGGAAAAAAAAGUUGCAUGUGCAAAUAAUAGCAUAUUGAUGUUUGUAAGAUUUUAUAUUAUGAUUUUAAAAUAGAUAUUGAUAAUUAUAUAUCCUUAACUUGCAGAAAAUUUUUGAUGCAGCUAAGUUUCGAGAAUGUGGUUUACAACAUACCAUGAAGUUGGAUAGGUUAUUUAGAGAUACUAGUACCAC